rnacentral:rRNA from 1 species
UACGGAGGGUGCAAGCGUUAUCCGGAUUCACUGGGUUUAAAGGGUGCGUAGGUGGACUGGUAAGUCCGUGGUGAAAUCCCCAAGCUUAACUUGGGAACUGCCGUGGAUACUAUCAGUCUUGAAUACUGUGGAGGUAAGCGGAAUAUGUCAUGUAGCGGUGAAAUGCUUAGAUAUGACAUAGAACACCGAUAGCGAAGGCAGCUUGCUAGACAGUCAUUGACACUGAGGCACGAAAGCGUGGGGAGCAAACAGG